ACAGCAGCCGCCGCGGUAAUACGAAGGGUGCAAGCGUUACUCGGAAUUACUGGGCGUAAAGCGUGCGUAGGUGGUGGUUUAAGUCCGUUGUGAAAGCCCUGGGCUCAACCUGGGAAUUGCAGUGGAUACUGGAUCACUAGAGUGUGGUAGAGGAUAGUGGAAUUUCCGGAGUAGCAGUGAAAUGCGUAGAGAUCGGAAGGAACAUCUGUGGCGAAGGCGACUAUCUGGGCCAACACUGACACUGAGGCACGAAAGCGUGGGGAGCAAACAGGAUUAGAUACCCGGGUAGUCCCUGUCUCUUAUAC
rnacentral:rRNA from 1 species